rnacentral:tRNA from 1 species
GACGAGGUGGCCGAGCGGUCUAAGGCGCUAGUUUCAGGUACUAGUUCUUCGGAGCGUGGGUUCGAAUCCCAUCCUCGUCA